AGAGUUUGAUCCUGGCUCAGGAUGAACGCUAGCGACAGGCUUAACACAUGCAAGUCGAGGGGCAGCGGGGGCGUAGCAAUAUGCCUGCCGGCGACCGGCGCACGGGUGAGUAACACGUAUGUAACCUGCCCUAUGCAGGGGGAUAACCCGGAGAAAUCCGGCCUAAUACCGCGUAACACCUUAGGGGAGCAUUCUCUUGAGGUUAAAGGAGAGAUCCGGCAUAGGAUGGACAUGCGUCGCAUUAGGUAGACGGCGGGGUAACGGCCCACCGUGCCGACGAUGCGUAGGGGUUCUGAGAGGAAGGCCCCCCACACUGGUACUGAGACACGGACCAGACUCCUACGGGAGGCAGCAGUGAGGAAUAUUGGUCAAUGGCCGAGAGGCUGAACCAGCCAAGUCGCGUGAGGGAAGAAUGUCCUAAGGAUUGUAAACCUCUUUUGUCGGGGAGCAAAAAGGCUCUGCGGAGUCGUAUUGAGAGUACCCGAAGAAAAAGCAUCGGCUAACUCCGUGCCAGCAGCCGCGGUAAUACGGAGGAUGCGAGCGUUAUCCGGAUUUAUUGGGUUUAAAGGGUGCGCAGGCGGCGUGCCAAGCAAGCGGUAAAAUAGCGGGGCUCAACCCCGUCGAGCCGUUUGAACUGGCGCGCUUGAGUUCAGGCGAGGUAGGCGGAAUUCGUGGUGUAGCGGUGAAAUGCAUAGAUAUCACGAAGAACUCCGAUUGCGAAGGCAGCUUACCAGUCUGCGACUGACGCUCAGGCACGAAAGUGUGGGUAUCGAACAGGAUUAGAUACCCUGGUAGUCCACACAGUAAACGAUGAGCGCUAGGUGUCCGGGUCGCAUGAGACUUGGGUGCCCGAGCGAAAGCGUUAAGCGCUCCACCUGGGGAGUACGCCGGCAACGGUGAAACUCAAAGGAAUUGACGGGGGCCCGCACAAGCGGAGGAACAUGUGGUUUAAUUCGAUGAUACGCGAGGAACCUUACCCGGGCUCAAACGACUCAGGAAUAUAUUGGAAACGAUGUAGCCAGCAAUGGUCUGAGUCGAGGUGCUGCAUGGUUGUCGUCAGCUCGUGCCGUGAGGUGUCGGCUUAAGUGCCAUAACGAGCGCAACCCCUACCGCCAGUUGCCAACGGGUAAAGCCGGGAACUCUGGCGGGACUGCCGGCGCAAGCUGUGAGGAAGGCGGGGAUGACGUCAAAUCAGCACGGCCCUUACGUCCGGGGCGACACACGUGUUACAAUGGCAGGUACAGCGGGAAGCCACCUGGUGACAGGGAGCGGAACCCGAAAGCCUGUCUCAGUUCGGAUUGGAGUCUGCAACUCGACUCCAUGAAGCUGGAUUCGCUAGUAAUCGCGCAUCAGCCAUGGCGCGGUGAAUACGUUCCCGGGCCUUGUACACACCGCCCGUCA
rnacentral:rRNA from 1 species